AUUGAACGCUGGCGGCAUGCCUUACACAUGCAAGUCGAACGGUAACGCGGGGCAACCUGGCGACGAGUGGCGAAUGGGUGAGUAACGUAUCGGAACGUGCCCAGUUGUGGGGGAUAACUGCUCGAAAGAGCAGCUAAUACCGCAUACGACCUGAGGGUGAAAGCGGGGGAUCGCAAGACCUCGCGCAAUUGGAGCGGCCGAUAUCAGAUUAGGUAGUUGGUGGGGUAAAGGCUCACCAAGCCGACGAUCUGUAGCUGGUCUGAGAGGACGACCAGCCACACUGGGACCGAGACACGGCCCAGACUCCUACGGGAGGCAGCAGUGGGGAAUUUUGGACAAUGGACGCAAGUCUGAUCCAGCCAUGCCGCGUGCGGGAAGAAGGCCUUCGGGUUGUAAACCGCUUUUGUCAGGGAAGAAACGCUCUGGGUUAAUACCUCGGGGUAAUGACGGUACCUGAAGAAUAAGCACCGGCUAACUACGUGCCAGCCGCCGCUGUAA
rnacentral:rRNA from 1 species